rnacentral:rRNA from 1 species
UACGUAGGGUGCAAGCGUUAAUCGGAAUUACUGGGCGUACAGCGUGCGCAGGCGGUUUUGUAAGUCUGUCGUGAAAGCCCCGGGCUCAACCUGGGAAUUGCGAUGGAGACUGCAAGGCUUGAAUCUGGCAGAGGGGGGUAGAAUUCCACGUGUAGCAGUGAAAUGCGUAGAGAUGUGGAGGAACACCGAUGGCGAAGGCAGCCCCCUGGGUCAAGAUUGACGCUCAUGCACGAAAGCGUGGGGAGCAAACAGG